rnacentral:rRNA from 1 species
GUUAAAGUAACAAGGUUUCCGUAGGUGAACCUGCGGAAGGAUCAUUACAGAGUUCAUGCCCGACCAAGGGUAGACCUCCCACCUGGACUUGUGUAUUAUUACUUUGUGUGUGCUUUGGCGAGCUGCUCUUCGGGGCCUUGUAUGCUCAAGCCAGAGAAAACUCUUAUCAAAACUCGCAGCUUUUUAUUAAUGUCGUCUGAGUACUAUAUAAUAGUUAAAACUUUCAACAACGGAUCUCUUGGUUCUGGCAUCGAUGAAGAACGCAGCGAAAUGCGAUAAGUAAUGUGAAUUGCAGAAUUCAGUGAAUCAUCGAAUCUUUGAACUGCACAUUGACCGCCCCUUGAAUUAUGUAUUCCGGGGGGCAUGCCUGUUCGAGCGUCAUUUCAACCCUCAAGCUCCUCAGAGCUUGGUAUUGAGUCCAUGUCAGUAAUGGCAGGCUCUAAAAUCAGUGGCGGCGCCGCUGGGUCCUGAACGUAGUAAUAUCUCUCGUUACAGGUUCUCGGUGUGCUUCUGCCAAAACCCAAAUUUUCUAUGGUUGACCUCGGAUCAGGUAGGGAUACCCGCUGAACUUAAGCAUAUCAAUAGG